rnacentral:rRNA from 1 species
GGGUCAGUAGGUUGGUCGUGCCACCGGUACGUACUGGUCUCACUGAUUCCUCCUUCCUGAAGAACCGUAAUGCCAUUAAUUUGGUGUUGCGGGGAAACAGGACUGUUACUUUGAAAAAAUUAGAGUGUUUAAAGCAAGCUAACGCUUGAAUACAUUAGCAUGGUAUAAUGAAAUAGGACGAUCGAUCCUAUUUUGCUGGUUUCUAGGAUUGACGUA